rnacentral:rRNA from 1 species
AGGGCGCACGGUGGAUGCCUUGGCACUAGAAGCCGAUGAAGGACGUGACUAACGACGAAAUGCUUUGGGGAGCUGUAAGUGAGCAAUGAUCCAGAGAUGUCCGAAUGGGGGAACCCGGCAGGUAAUGCCUGUCACUCAUUACUGUUAAGGUAAUGUAGAGGAAGACGCAGUGAACUGAAACAUCUAAGUAGCUGCAGGAAGAGAAAGCAAAAGCGAUUGCCUUAGUAGCGGCGAGCGAAACGGCAAGAGGGCAAACCGAAGAGUUUACUCUUCGGGGUUGUAGGACUGCAACGUGGACUUAAAGAUUAUAGAAGAACUACCUGGGAAGGUAGGCCAAAGAGAGUAAUAGCCUCGUAUUCGAAAUAGUCUUUAUACCUAGCAGUAUCCUGAGUACGGCGAGACACGAGAAAUCUCGUCGGAAUCUGGGAGGACCAUCUCCCAACCCUAAAUACUCUCUAGUGACCGAUAGUGAACCAGUACCGUGAGGGAAAGGUGAAAAGCACCCCGGGAGGGGAGUGAAAUAGAACCUGAAACCGUGUGCCUACAACAAGUUCGAGCCCGUUAAUGGGUGAGAGCGUGCCUUUUGUAGAAUGAACCGGCGAGUUACGAUAUGAUGCGAGGUUAAGUUGAAGAGACGGAGCCGUAGGGAAACCGAGUCUUAAUAGGGCGCAUUAGUAUCAUGUCGUAGACCCGAAACCAUGUGACCUACCCAUGAGCAGGUUGAAGGUGAGGUAAAACUCACUGGAGGACCGAACCAGGGCACGUUGAAAAGUGCUUGGAUGACUUGUGGGUAGCGGAGAAAUUCCAAACGAACUUGGAGAUAGCUGGUUCUCUCCGAAAUAGCUUUAGGGCUAGCCUCGGAAUUGAGAAUGAUGGAGGUAGAGCACUGUUUGGACUAGGGGCCCAUCUCGGGUUACCGAAUUCAGAUAAACUCCGAAUGCCAUUCAUUUAUAUCCGGGAGUCAGACUGCGAGUGAUAAGAUCCGUAGUCGAAAGGGAAACAGCCCAGACCACCAGCUAAGGUCCCAAAAUAUAUGUUAAGUGGAAAAGGAUGUGGGGUUGCACAGACAACUAGGAUGUUGGCUUAGAAGCAGCCACCAUUUAAAGAGUGCGUAAUAGCUCACUAGUCGAGUGACCCUGCGCCGAAAAUGUACCGGGGCUAAACAUAUUACCGAAGCUGUGGACUACACCAUUAGGUGUAGUGGUAGGAGAGCGUUCUAAGGGCGUUGAAGGUCGAUCGUGAGGACGGCUGGAGCGCUUAGAAGUGAGAAUGCCGGUAUGAGUAGCGAAAGACAGGUGAGAAUCCUGUCCACCGUAAGACUAAGGUUUCCAGGGGAAGGCUCGUCCGCCCUGGGUUAGUCGGGACCUAAGGAGAGACCGAAAGGUGUAUCCGAUGGACAACAGGUUGAUAUUCCUGUACUAGAGUAUAUAGUGAUGGAGGGACGCAGUAGGCUAACUAAACCAGACGAUUGGAAGUGUCUGGCCAAGCAGUGAGGUGUGAUAUGAGUCAAAUGCUUAUAUCUAUAACAUUGAGCUGUGAUGGGGAGCGAAGUUUAGUAGCGAAGUUAGUGAUGUCACACUGCCGAGAAAAGCUUCUAGCGUUAAUUAUACUCUACCCGUACCGCAAACCGACACAGGUAGUCGAGGCGAGUAGCCUCAGGUGAGCGAGAGAACUCUCGUUAAGGAACUCGGCAAAAUGGCCCCGUAACUUCGGGAGAAGGGGCGCUGACUUAUGGUCAGCCGCAGUGAAUAGGCCCAAGCAACUGUUUAUCAAAAACACAGCUCUCUGCUAAAUCGUAAGAUGAUGUAUAGGGGGUGACGCCUGCCCGGUGCUGGAAGGUUAAGAGGAGUGCUUAGCGUAAGCGAAGGUAUGAAUUGAAGCCCCAGUAAACGGCGGCCGUAACUAUAACGGUCCUAAGGUAGCGAAAUUCCUUGUCGGGUAAGUUCCGACCCGCACGAAAGGCGUAAUGAUUUGGGCACUGUCUCAACGAGAGACUCGGUGAAAUUUUAGUACCUGUGAAGA